UGUUGUUUUUUAAACUGCUUUUGGAGACUC
rnacentral:piRNA from 1 species